CUGAACGCAUCUAAGCUCGAAACCCACUUGGAAAAGAAGUAUCACCGAGAUCACUCGUAGAAGACGAGUUCGAUAGGCUCGGGAUGUACGCGCCGAGGCAACGAGGCGUUCAGUCCGCGAGUACUAACAGAUCGA
rnacentral:rRNA from 1 species